CACGUAGGCACCAAGCGUUGUCCGGAUUUAUUGGGCGUAAAGAGCUCGUAGGCGGUUCGGUAAGUCGGGUGUGAAAACUCUGGGCCUACCACCAGAGCCGCCACCCGAUACUGCUGUGACUCGAGUGCGGUAGGGGAGCGGGGAAUUCCUGGUGUAGCGGUGAAAUGCGCAGAUAUCAGGAGGAACACCAGUGGCGAAGGCGGGUCUCUGGACAGUUCCUGACGCUGAGGCACGAAGGUCAGGGGAGCAAACGGG
rnacentral:rRNA from 1 species